rnacentral:rRNA from 1 species
GACGAACGCUGGCGGCGUGCUUAACACAUGCAAGUCGAACGGAAAGGCCCCUUUGGGGGUACUCGAGUGGCGAACGGGUGAGUAACACGUGAGUAACCUGCCCUUGACUUCGGGAUAACUUCAGGAAACUGGGGCUAAUACCGGAUAGGAAUCCUUGCUGCAUGGUGGGGGUUGGAAAGCUUCGGCGGUUUUGGAUGGACUCGCGGCUUAUCAGCUUGUUGGUGGGGUAGUGGCUUACCAAGGCUUUGACGGGUAGCCGGCCUGAGAGGGCGACCGGCCACAUUGGGACUGAGAUACGGCCCAGACUCCUACGGGAGGCAGCAGUGGGGAAUAGUGCACAAUGGGCGGAAGCCGGAUGCAGCAACGCCGCGUGCGGGAUGACGGCCUUCGGGUUGUAAACCGCUUUCAGCAGGGGCGAAGCUUGUGGUGACGGUACCUGCAGAAGAAGCACCGGCUAACUACGUG